AAAUAUUUUUUUUAGGGCUUCAGUGAUGACGAAAUUGAACCAUUCUUAAAGACAGCAAAAGAUUCAGUGAAAACGAAUGCCGCAAAUUAUAUACCUCUUCUAUACAGAGUAAGUUGGUUUAAAAUGAUUUAAUUUGUUCACUGAAUAUUAUUAAUUGAACAGAUAAUUAAACAUAAUAUAUUUAAUUCGUUUGCAUCUGUUCAAAAAUUAUAAAUAAUGUAUUUUGGUUGUUGGUUUAUAAACUACUUUUGUACCAUAGUAUGACAGAAUUUUUUUCUUGUCGAGUGUAGCCUCAGAACAAAGAGAGAUCCAACGAGUUUCCAAAGGAGUAUUGAAAAAACUGAAAAUCAUUGUCAGUUACGAUCAGAGUCGAACGAACAUUUCCACUAUCGGUACUUCACAGUUAACAAUCGAGUUUGGAACAUUUGAAUUUAAAGCUGAAUAUAUAAUUUAACAACCUUUCUAUUGUUGAAGACAGCACAUUGUCUUUCAUAUGUCUUUUGAUUGAGAUUCUGAUCAUUGAUCUACACGCCAACAUUUUAUGCAUUAACAUAUAUCGAAUUACAAAAACAAAAAUGUGCUAUCAAAUAUUCGAAAAGUCUAGAAAUUUAUCAUUCAUUUGCAGCUUAUACUUGUUUUCUUUUAUUAAUACUUCUCUUUAAUCAUGAUCAGCUAGGAAUACAGUAUAUUGCAAUUUUUAAUAAAUACAAUCAAUAAGAAAUUCUGUAAAAAGUUCAUGGAAAGAAAAGCCAUAAAUUGCCCAACUAAUGAAUGAUGGUAAGCUUAAAUAGAGUUUAACAGUACAUACAUUUAGCGUUAGGUAUAUACCAGGUAAGCUAUAGAAGCUGUUGUGGGUUUCUGAUUUUGAAAAAGAAAGAGAAGAUUGAUUUGAGUUUAAUUUAUAUUAGAAAAUCAACUCGUUUUCAGUGUACGUUUAAUCUGUAAUUUCAAUUGAUUUCUUUUUUACUUUUCAGAAAAUAAUUAGCAGUACAUCAACCUGUAAACUAGUAGCUCAAUAUAAAGAUUUCAGUCUACAAUAUAUAGAAAAUUGUGUGAAAAUUUGUUACUUCGCAGCAGUCCAAAACCCGCCUAUGGUGAUAGAUUUUGAACCUGGACAAAUGUUUGAUAAACAAUCAUAUAGGGAAUAUACCAGAUCAGGCACCGUUGUGGAAUAUUUAGUCUGGCCAGUUUUAUAUUUACACAAAGGAGGUCCGAUUCUAUCUAAAGGUGUUGUGCAACCAAAAGAGGAAAAUAAUAGCAAUAAGUAGUGAACUCGAGGUUAAAAAUUUAAAAGUUAAACUAUUAUUUAUUUCAAUGUCAGUGAUGGCGUUCAGGUGCCUUUAAUCCUAAUAUAUAACCUGUAAUUUAAUAUUAAAAAAC
rnacentral:lncRNA from 1 species